UCGGGAAUUUUGGGCAAUGGGCGAAAGCCUGACCCAGCAACGCCGCGUGAAGGAUGAAAUCCUUCGGGAUGUAAACUUCGCAAGAAUAGGAAGAAUUAGCGAACGCUAACAUCGUUCGUGAUGACGGUACUAUUUGUAAGCUCCGGCUAACUCCGUGCCAGCAGCCGCGGUAAUACGGGGGGAGCAAGCGUUGUUCGGAUUUACUGGGCGUAAAGGGCGCGUAGGCGGCCAGCGCAAGUCAGUUGUGAAAUCUCCGGGCUUAACUCGGAAAGGUCAACUGAUACUGCGCGGCUAGAGUGCAGAAGGGGCAACUGGAAUUCUCGGUGUAGCGGUGAAAUGCGUAGAUAUCGAGAGGAACACCGGCGGCGAAGGCGGGUUGCUGGGCUGACACUGACGCUGAUGCGCGAAAGCCAGGGGAGCGAACGG
rnacentral:rRNA from 1 species